CUGUUACCAUACCGACGUGGUACGGACUCCGUUCUCUGUUCUGGAAGGUUCUGCUUCUCAAUCCCCUUCUCAUUCUUGGUUUCCCUUGUCUCUGUAUCAUCUGUUCCUACUCUCCUUAUGCUUUCCUCCUGUGUCAUCUAAGUGUUGGGCUCUACUUCCUCACCGUUCCUGUGUCUUAAUCCCCGUAUCUUGGUUUGAACAUCUUUCUCUUCACCUUUUUCCUUCUCUCUCAACUUCAGUUUCCCAUUGACUUCUCCCUGCCUUCAUCUCUAUCCCGAAUCUCUGAAUUCCUAUAUCCUGAUUUAUUUCACCAGCCCCAUUUCUGUUGCACACCCUUACCCAUUCGUUGGCAAAACGAGUGGAGAAACGCACCAAGCGUUCCUCAGUGAUCUCAGAAAACUGAACGAGAAGCCGGUCAGCUUACUCAACAGCUCAGGACGGAGGAUGUACACGAUUAAGCGGAGGGCGCGUGAUUUACAGUAAUCCCCAUGACUUUCCAAAGGAGAAUGCUGGCUUGGGGAUACCACCGGAGGUUGUGUGCUGAACACUACCAUAUCAGACACGCACCGUACCUGAUUUCACCAGGGUGCCCACGCUUAUCUGGCAAGGUGUUAAUUUAUGGAUCAGAAAACCGAGCUUCAAAGAAGUUAGCUAUGUUGGUGGCUGGACCCCCAGGAGGCCGACACUGCGCCAGGUAGACAAGUGGAAGCCACACAUGCCAGUCAGUGGGAGGAGGGACAGAUGUGCAGCUGUUGCUACUGAAAUCAGCCGACUUGAAUAAGCCCGUAUUUGGGUCCUGGACAAUCUUAAACAUUCUAUAGCUGGUCUUCCAUGCCUU
rnacentral:lncRNA from 1 species